CGAUUAUUAAUCCUAGUUGGCGGGGUAACGGCCCACCAAGGGUACGAUCGGUAGCUGGUCUGAGAGGACGAUCAGCCACACUGGAACUGAGACACGGUCCAGACUCCUACGGGAGGCAGCAGUGGGGAAUAUUGCGCAAUGGGCGAAAGCCUGACGCAGCCACGCCGCGUGUGUGAUGAAGGCCUUCGGGUUGUAAAGCACUGUCGAGGGGGACGAAGAAUGACGGUACCCCUCAAGAAAGCGCCGGCUAACCCUGUGCCAGCAGCCGCGGUAA
rnacentral:rRNA from 1 species